GGUUAAGCGACUAAGCGUACACGGUGGAUGCCCUGGCAGUCAGAGGCGAUGAAGGACGUGCUAAUCUGCGAUAAGCGUCGGUGAGGUGAUAUGAACCGUUAUAACCGGCGAUUUCCGAAUGGGGAAACCCAGUGUGUUUCGACACACUAUCAUUAACUGAAUCCAUAGGUUAAUGAGGCGAACCGGGGGAACUGAAACAUCUAAGUACCCCGAGGAAAAGAAAUCAACCGAGAUUCCCCCAGUAGCGGCGAGCGAACGGGGAGGAGCCCAGAGCCUGAAUCAGUGUGUGUGUUAGUGGAAGCGUCUGGAAAGGCGCGCGAUACAGGGUGACAGCCCCGUACACAAAAAUGCACAUAUUGUGAGCUCGAUGAGUAGGGCGGGACACGUGGUAUCCUGUCUGAAUAUGGGGGGACCAUCCUCCAAGGCUAAAUACUCCUGACUGACCGAUAGUGAACCAGUACCGUGAGGGAAAGGCGAAAAGAACCCCGGCGAGGGGAGUGAAAAAGAACCUGAAACCGUGUACGUACAAGCAGUGGGAGCCUCUUUAUGGGGUGACUGCGUACCUUUUGUAUAAUGGGUCAGCGACUUAUAUUCUGUAGCAAGGUUAACCGAAUAGGGGAGCCGAAGGGAAACCGAGUCUUAACUGGGCGUUAAGUUGCAGGGUAUAGACCCGAAACCCGGUGAUCUAGCCAUGGGCAGGUUGAAGGUUGGGUAACACUAACUGGAGGACCGAACCGACUAAUGUUGAAAAAUUAGCGGAUGACUUGUGGCUGGGGGUGAAAGGCCAAUCAAACCGGGAGAUAGCUGGUUCUCCCCGAAAGCUAUUUAGGUAGCGCCUCGUGAAUUCAUCUCCGGGGGUAGAGCACUGUUUCGGCAAGGGGGUCAUCCCGACUUACCAACCCGAUGCAAACUGCGAAUACCGGAGAAUGUUAUCACGGGAGACACACGGCGGGUGCUAACGUCCGUCGUGAAGAGGGAAACAACCCAGACCGCCAGCUAAGGUCCCAAAGUCAUGGUUAAGUGGGAAACGAUGUGGGAAGGCCCAGACAGCCAGGAUGUUGGCUUAGAAGCAGCCAUCAUUUAAAGAAAGCGUAAUAGCUCACUGGUCGAGUCGGCCUGCGCGGAAGAUGUAACGGGGCUAAACCAUGCACCGAAGCUGCGGCAGCGACACUAUGUGUUGUUGGGUAGGGGAGCGUUCUGUAAGCCUGUGAAGGUGGCCUGUGAGGGUUGCUGGAGGUAUCAGAAGUGCGAAUGCUGACAUAAGUAACGAUAAAGCGGGUGAAAAGCCCGCUCGCCGGAAGACCAAGGGUUCCUGUCCAACGUUAAUCGGGGCAGGGUGAGUCGACCCCUAAGGCGAGGCCGAAAGGCGUAGUCGAUGGGAAACAGGUUAAUAUUCCUGUACUUGGUGUUACUGCGAAGGGGGGACGGAGAAGGCUAUGUUGGCCGGGCGACGGUUGUCCCGGUUUAAGCGUGUAGGCUGGUUUUCCAGGCAAAUCCGGAAAACCAAGGCUGAGGCGUGAUGACGAGGCACUACGGUGCUGAAGCGACAAAUGCCCUGCUUCCAGGAAAAGCCUCUAAGCAUCAGGUAACAUCAAAUCGUACCCCAAACCGACACAGGUGGUCAGGUAGAGAAUACCAAGGCGCUUGAGAGAACUCGGGUGAAGGAACUAGGCAAAAUGGUGCCGUAACUUCGGGAGAAGGCACGCUGAUAUGUAGGUGAAGCGACUUGCUCGUGGAGCUGAAAUCAGUCGAAGAUACCAGCUGGCUGCAACUGUUUAUUAAAAACACAGCACUGUGCAAACACGAAAGUGGACGUAUACGGUGUGACGCCUGCCCGGUGCCGGAAGGUUAAUUGAUGGGGUUAGCGGUAACGCGAAGCUCUUGAUCGAAGCCCCGGUAAACGGCGGCCGUAACUAUAACGGUCCUAAGGUAGCGAAAUUCCUUGUCGGGUAAGUUCCGACCUGCACGAAUGGCGUAAUGAUGGCCAGGCUGUCUCCACCCGAGACUCAGUGAAAUUGAACUCGCUGUGAAGAUGCAGUGUACCCGCGGCAAGACGGAAAGACCCCGUGAACCUUUACUAUAGCUUGACACUGAACAUUGAGCCUUGAUGUGUAGGAUAGGUGGGAGGCUUUGAAGUGUGGACGCCAGUCUGCAUGGAGCCGACCUUGAAAUACCACCCUUUAAUGUUUGAUGUUCUAACGUUGGCCCGUAAUCCGGGUUGCGGACAGUGUCUGGUGGGUAGUUUGACUGGGGCGGUCUCCUCCUAAAGAGUAACGGAGGAGCACGAAGGUUGGCUAAUCCUGGUCGGACAUCAGGAGGUUAGUGCAAUGGCAUAAGCCAGCUUGACUGCGAGCGUGACGGCGCGAGCAGGUGCGAAAGCAGGUCAUAGUGAUCCGGUGGUUCUGAAUGGAAGGGCCAUCGCUCAACGGAUAAAAGGUACUCCGGGGAUAACAGGCUGAUACCGCCCAAGAGUUCAUAUCGACGGCGGUGUUUGGCACCUCGAUGUCGGCUCAUCACAUCCUGGGGCUGAAGUAGGUCCCAAGGGUAUGGCUGUUCGCCAUUUAAAGUGGUACGCGAGCUGGGUUUAGAACGUCGUGAGACAGUUCGGUCCCUAUCUGCCGUGGGCGCUGGAGAACUGAGGGGGGCUGCUCCUAGUACGAGAGGACCGGAGUGGACGCAUCACUGGUGUUCGGGUUGUCAUGCCAAUGGCACUGCCCGGUAGCUAAAUGCGGAAGAGAUAAGUGCUGAAAGCAUCUAAGCACGAAACUUGCCCCGAGAUGAGUUCUCCCUGACUCCUUGAGAGUCCUGAAGGAACGUUGAAGACGACGACGUUGAUAGGCCGGGUGUGUAAGCGCAGCGAUGCGUUGAGCUAACCGGUACUAAUGAACCGUGAGGCUUAACCUU
rnacentral:rRNA from 4 species